rnacentral:rRNA from 1 species
UCCGGUUGAUCCUGCCAGAGGUCACUGCUAUCGGGGUUCGAUUAAGCCAUGCGAGUCGAGAGGGUUCGGCCCUCGGCGUACUGCUCAGUAACACGUGGAUAACCUGCCCUAAGGAAGGGGAUAACCUCGGGAAACUGAGGAUAAUACCCUAUAGGAUACCGAUGCUGGAAUGCCCGGUAUCCCAAAGCUCCGGCGCCUUAGGAUGGAUCUGCGGCCGAUUAGGUCGUUGUUGGGGUAACGGCCCAACAAGCCGAUAAUCGGUACGGGUUGUGGGAGCAAGAGCCCGGAGUUGGAUUCUGAGACACGAAUCCAGGCCCUACGGGGCGCAGCAGGCGCGAAAACUUUACAAUGCGGGCAACCGUGAUAAGGGAACCUCGAGUGCCUGUACAUGCAGGCUGUCUGGGUGUCUAAAACACACCCAAAGAAAGGGCCGGGCAAGACCGGUGCCAGCCGCCGCGGUAAUACCGGCGGCUCGAGUGGUGGCCACUUUUAUUGGGCUUAAAGCGUUCGUAGCUGGGUUGUUAAGUCUCUUGGGAAAUCUGGCAGCUUAACUGUCAGGCGUCUAAGAGAUACUGGCAAUCUAGGAACCGGGAGAGGUGAGGGGUACUUCGGGGGUAGGAGUGAAAUCCUGUAAUCCUCGAGGGACCACCUGUGGCGAAGGCGCCUCACCAGAACGGCUUCGACAGUGAGGGACGAAAGCUGGGGGAGCAAACCGGAUUAGAUACCCGGGUAGUCCCAGCCGUAAACGAUGCGCGUUAGGUGUGUCGAUGACCACGAGUCAUCGAGGUGCCGAAGGGAACCGUGAAACGCGCCGCCUGGGAAGUACGGUCGCAAGGCUGAAACUUAAAGGAAUUGGCGGGGGAGCACCACAACAGG